GGAGCUCCACUAUGCCCUGCCAUGGCUGUACCCAGCGCUGCCCCACGACGCCCUGUAACGGCCAUGUCAGUGGCAGCCCCAUCGUGCCACACGAUGACGAAUCCCCGGAAAAACCUCCCAGCCUGAUAUAUAUGAGGCUGGGGGGGAAGGGGGAGGGUAAGAUAUAUCUUCCAGAGUAUCAUCUCACCUGCUACCUUCUCCUUCUCCUUCUCCUUCGAUCUCCUCUGACUUGAUCGUCGGAGGGCCCCCACUACCCCGGUGGUGGUGCGAGGCUUGCUUGCAGGUUUCACGGCGGAGGGCGGAGCGCAACCAAAGCAACUCAAAGGGAACUCCGUUCACACCGCUGUG
rnacentral:lncRNA from 1 species